AUUGAACGCUGGCGGCAGGCCUAACACAUGCAAGUCGAACGAGCGGCGGACGGGUGAGUAAUGUCUGGGAAACUGGCUUAUGGAGGGGGAUAACGACUGGAAACGGUCGCUAAUACCGCAUACCAUCGGAUGAGCCCAAGUGGGAUUAGUUAGUUGGUGGGGUAAUGGCUUACCAAGGCGACGAUCCCUAGCUGGUCUGAGAGGAUGACCAGCCACACCGGGACUGAGACACGGCCCAGACUCCUACGGGAGGCAGCAGUGGGGAAUAUUGCGCAAUGGGGGCAACCCUGACGCAGCCAUGCCGCGUGAAUGAAGAAGGCCUUCGGGUUGUAAAGUUCUUUCGGUGACGAGGCGUUAAUCGCAGAAGAAGCACCGGCUAACUCCGUGCCAGCCGCCGCGGUAAUUC
rnacentral:rRNA from 1 species